rnacentral:rRNA from 1 species
GCCUAGCUUGCUAAGCUUGUUUUUAGUGGCGCACGGGUGAGUAACACGUGAGUUACCUGCCCCCAAGAGUGGGAUAGCCCCGGGAAACUGGGAUUAAUACCGCAUAAUAUCGCAAGAUUAAAGGUGCAAACCGCUUGGGGAUGGGCUCGCGGCCUAUUAGUUAGUUGGUGAGGUAACGGCUCACCAAGGCGAUGACGGGUAGCCGGUCUGAGAGGAUGUCCGGCCACACUGGAACUGAGACACGGUCCAGACACCUACGGGUGGCAGCAGUCGAGAAUCAUUCACAAUGGGGGAAACCCUGAUGGUGCGACGCCGCGUGGGGGAGCGAAGGUCUUCGGAUUGUAAACCCCUGUCAAGUGGGAGCAAAUUAAAAAGAUAGUACCACUAGAGGAAGAGACGGCUAACUCUGUGCCAGCAGCCGCGGUAAUACAGAGGUCUCAAGCGUUGUUCGGAAUCACUGGGCGUAAAGCGUACGUAGGCGGCUUGGUAAGUCGUGUGUGAAAGGCAGGGGCUCAACCUCUGGACUGCACAUGAUACUGCCAGGCUAGAGUAAUGGAGGGGAAACCGGAAUUCUCGGUGUAGCAGUGAAAUGCGUAGAUAUCGAGAGGAACACUCGUGGC